CCUGUAGCGCAGGGGAUAGCACACUGGACUUCUAAUCCAGAGGUUGUGGGUUUGUAUCCCACCAGG
rnacentral:tRNA from 1 species